UCCAGCUCCCGUAGGAGUCCGGGCGAAGUCUUCCUGCAAUUGAAGUCGUGGGCGAAGUCCGGCUCCCGUAGGAGUCCGGACGAAGCCCUUCUACAGUCGGAGUCGGGGACAAGGUCCGACUCCCGUAGGAGUCCGGAUGAAGUCUUCCUGCAAUUGAAGUCGUGGGUGGAGUCCGGCUCCUGUAGGAGUCUGGACGAAGCCUUUCUGCAGUCGA
rnacentral:lncRNA from 1 species